AUCGAACCUUCCGUUUCUUUAAUCACGUCGCCGAUUCGCUAUUCCUCUUCAAAUAUUGUUUCGCCUUAAUUACUAAGCAGAAUAACCCUCGACAAGGGUUCGACACCAAUUGGCGUCUGAAUUCUCUUCGUUCGACGACGAGUCUCGAAAAGCAAUUCCUGUUUUAUAAGGAAAGAGAAAUUUACAAUUUCCCAUGCGUUCGGCAUCUGGGAUUUAUUGUUUCCUGUAUUGGCCUUCGGCAAUUUGGAGUCUCGUCAUUUUUUAAGCACUUGGAAAUGCUCAAAAGGCGAAAAGCUCGUUUCUGAUAACGAAUACAUUUGGGGCUUCGAAGAACUGUGCACUUAUCGAGAUUGACUGAAUUGCUAGACGCUCGUAACAAAUAUUCAAAUUUCCAUGUUAAAGUUUUCAUGCAUCCUCAUCUGAGAGCGAUGAAAAGUCUCCCUUAAAAGCUUUAUUCCCAUCGCCAUCUUAGCACCGCAGUAGAAACAGUUCGGUGUGUUUUGAAACAAUGAUAAAACGCGGCGAGUCCCGCCUAAAAAGAAUAUUUUUAAUUUUUGUGAAAUUGCUCACAGACUCUGUUAUUCUGGAAGUCGAUCAUUGAAAUUCAACUUCGAUAACGGAAUUGACGUUUUCAUUGAAAAUUGACGAAACCCCAAACAGAAAUUCUUCACCCUUCCUAUCAAUGGGACUUUGUUAGAAUAGUCUUUAGCACGAUGCCGAUGUUGGAGGAUCGAGUUUGCACGAAUGUUAAAAGGAUACGUUGCGAGAGAAGUGGGAAUGGCAGGACACCCCGCGAGGGUGCCGCAAAACUUCGCGAGUCCCGUUGAAAACAGUGGCUAAUGAAAGCACGAAAUCAGAUUUCAUUAAUGCCGACGAAUCGUACACGUGCGAUAAGGCCACUCGGGAAAGCUCAAACAAAGAGGAAGAAAAGGGAAUCAGGAUUUCUGAGCUUUGUGUUGCGACUUCAAAAGAAAGGGCCAUGCAAGAUCGGGUAAAAAGGCCCGUUAGAAAAGAAAGAGAAAUCGAUAAGGUACGAGAGGAGCAAGCAAGAAUGGACAUUCGCCAAAUUCCUUCAAUUUAAUUGGAAACAUCAAAGUAACGGCUCGGACACAUAGCUCUCGAAGGGAAAGAAUAAUGAAGUAGAAAAAUAGUUGUGCGUUAAAAGUCUACGCCUGCUGGGAUAUUUCAAUUGGAUAAAAAUUCGAUGGAAAAGAACAAAGAGCAUCUAGUUUUCGUCGGUGGAUUUGGUCGCGACUGAAAACGAAUAAUAUCAUGCAAUUUGACAGCUCAUCAAAAAGUGUGACAAGCCAACUUUUUAGCCUGAUAAAAAAUACCCAAAAUUAUUAUUUUCCAGCGUUAUUCGCUGCACUGCAAAGUAAUAAAUCGAAUAAAAACAUCAUGGCGAUAUUACAAUUGGUGUUGAGCGGUUGGUGCUUCCGACGAUAGGUUCGCUAGUCGCAUACUCGUCGGUAAAAGCGGAUAUUCACAGGAAAAACGCGAGGAACCGAUAAUCCUAAAUAGCUCUACACUUCAAACAAAAGUAGAAUAUCUUCUGGAUUACCGCCAUCGAUCGGCGGAGCGGUGGUAGCUGAGCUUUUUAGCAACCGAGAAUAAACGUCUCCCGAUCGACGGCAUCUGCAGCGGGACUUGAACUUAUAAUUGGACUUUAGUAAAAGUGCACUUUGGUUGAGGAACGAAGAUCCUACCUGAGUUCGGGUACGCUCGUUCUUCACUGCCAGACAAAUGAAAAUUGUGGUAUUGACGUUUAAGAAUGUUGUUUAAAAUUCAGAAGAGGGAAGCUGCAUCUGCAAUGUUUGUUCGAUGAUUUUGCCUAUGAUCGCAAGGAUCCUUGCCAAUUGUUCGAGUACAGAUCGGUAAAAUGGAUAUAUUCGACAAUGGAAAAGCGUUUGGAGGUGCUAAUUGGGCUGGGGUUGAAUUUGACACGUUUCCACGAAGAAUUGUUCUUAUGAUGGGUUCCAAGUUGGACGCCGAGGUACGGACAAAAGGACGAAAAACAGCGAAACGUCCGGUAAUCGACGCAUGCGCUGCAACAGUCGAAUAGCUGUAUACAUGUGGAAAAGAAAAGAAGGAGGACUGAUGGCGUUGAAGUAAGACGGGGAUAAAGUAGAAGGGAGACGAAAACGUAGUGGGGGAUGUAAAUGCCCUUGUGAUGUAUCGGAUCGAUGCCGCAGCAUCUGGACCUUCGUUCUUACUACUGCACGACCUAAAAAUGUCCGUCUUAUGCCCACUUAAAAAUCGACACUUCUUUUUCACGCUCCCAAUAAUCGUUCGCUAGAUGAAUAAUGAAUUUUGCGGUAAGGUCGAAACAGCUGAUAAUCGAAUAACUGAGAGUGAGAGGGUCCGACAAAAACUGGUGGUAUUCCGUUUAAUUAAAGGAGCAAUCGAAUGAAAAAUGACGAGCAACAUUCCAUGUUGAUUAUCCAGCUCAAUAAAAUGAAUGAAUCUAAAAAAGUAGCGCGUAUAUGCGCGCGGCGGCUGAAAGAAAUUGGUCUUAAUAACACAUGCGAGCAUGACGAGUCGUGCGGAGUGGCGAGGAAAGCUUUACCGAAAUAGUUGAGAAGUAAAACGAGUCGUAGUAGAUCGGGAGCGAGAGGAUGGCGGAUUGGAAAAAAGCGCGACGAUAAGAAGUGGAAACCACUGGAAGCACAUCAGCCCCGUGACAGCGCCAACUUCUUCUCCAACAUCUUAAAUUUUUGUCUUCCACCACCCAUUAAUCCACUGUUAACAAGCUAGAGAAGCAGGAACCUCUCAGAGGAACACGAUUCGCACACCAGGGGUUGAUAGUCAGAGCUCACAGUCAUGGUGACUCUGCGUCAGCCAACUUCGAAACUUACUGCCUCGGGCCACGUUGACGGCCCGGUGACUUUAGAAUUUUCAAAAGGACAUCGGUGCUCAUUCCCGGAAACAAUAACAUACGUCGGAAUGACAUGUUCGAUAAUGGUCAGCCAAGCGGAAGGUCUGAGAGGGAAACAAAGAGCUCGAUGGAGAAAAGAAAUGAUAAUGGAGCGACAAAAAACGCGAUUGUCGUUGAACCAAGUUGAAGAACCAUGUCUGUUGACAGACCAGAUUAGGUCUACCAGAAAUUGAAAUUAUUGACCACUGCUCUAGGUUCUGUGAUUACAAGAUCCGAGAAAUCAGGAGAUCAAACGGUGGAAAGGAUAUAAGAGCAGAAUUUCGAGGCUCCGAAUCUUAGUGCAACCACAAAAAUGGAACCUCGAGUUUGCAGUCUGAGCAAACUGAUCGAAAUCGCUAAAAAAUUGAACCUGCCAAAUGGCUGUGGAACAAUUCCGUGACGGUUGCAUUGGAGUUGCCGUUUAUUGAAUCAUCGACGGAUUGAAAAUUCAAGGAAAUCGACUUCCGAUCUCAAUAACGCGGGCACGUGGAUCGCAGUGCACCAUUUCUCAUGGUUGCGGGCCAAUUUUGGAUGAGAAACUUUGACAAGCUCAAAUUUCCCAAGGAUUUUAGCAGCCUCGUAUUCGCGACGAUCUUCACUCGUCGUUGCUGGUCAGACCGGCCUCCGCGAGCUCCGACUCGACUAAGGUAGGGUCGACUAAGACGACCAGUCAAACAGCAAAGAGAAGUUGUCAGUGAAACUUCAUGGCCGCGGCACAAGCUCGGCGACAAUCUCGGCAGCGAUUCGUUGCUAUUCCGGGCAUUUUUACGAGAACGCCUUUUAUUCAGUAGCGGUAAAAAUGCCGGGUAUCAGUUGUGCGUCAAGAGGAGCUUCGCAAGCUUUUCCAAUGUCCCGCGAUCCCGGCUUUUCUACAGAUUUUACAUUUUUUUCUUGACGAAAAUCAACGCUAAUCGUGGAUUGAAGAAGAAAUUUCGUGAUGUAAACGAAUCACCAAAACGUUCCAAGACGAAUCGAAGUCGUUCGAACUGAGUGCAGCUCGCCUAAGGUCACUGGAAUCGUACGAAUCGCCGCAUUCCAACUGGGAUAAACGCGUUUAAGUUGGUUCCAAACCAACACAGUUUGACAACAGGAGCGUUUUAGUUGAGCUGAAACGUGAUUGGGGUUGUGGGAACUGAGUCUAAUUCAUCUUGACCUCAUCCAAUCGAGUCAAACUCUGAAUUCUUUCGGUGUUGAGAAGGUUCACUACGAACUCUACGCAAGUUGAUACCGAACUUUGUACGUAGUCGAUUGUCGAUGAGAAGUUUUAGGAAUUGAGAUAAAAUGUGAAGGUUUUUCAUCUUGACAAGGAGCUUGGUCCAGCUCUGUAAAUAUGCAAAGAAACUCCAGCGGUUUUGUGUUUCACCAUUGGAAGAUAAUAACGUCGGAUAAACGUAUCGGCAUCGUCGAGAACUAACCAGAACUCGUAUAAAUGCGUUUCAGUAGUCGGAACCGUCACGAAGAUUCGCUGCCUUUGGUGACUACGUGACCAAACAUAAGUCCAGUUUUUGCAAGCGAAGAAUUCGGGAAUGAUCGGGUCAAUUGUUACCCGCUCUUGCUCUUCCCGUAUCGCUCCGAUUUAGUAUGAGCCUCACAACAACCGGUUGAUCAUUGUGGAAUUUGUAGCUCAAUUAACGGUGGCUUCCAUUGACCAUCCCGGGAGUUAAAACAGUACAAACACACCGGACAUGGAUCUUGUAAACGAUAAGACACCAAAAAAAUCGCCACAUUCCUCCUCAAGGGCUGUUGAAAAAUCUAUUCGAAGAUUUUACGAUUGCAGCGGCCAUCAGAGGGGGCUCGCUCGGACAUUUAUUUUUCUUUCACCCUGACCAACCAAUAAGAACGUUUGAGAGUGAGAAAAAAUAUCACCAGUUCUCAUUGCACCGGACACGUAGACAUGCAGGGGGACGUUUCCUGCUUCGUUGAAGUAAAUCAUUGCGAGAGGCAAAGAAGUUUUCUCGGCAAAUAAGCUCCGCACUUCGAUCGAGUGCUUCGAAGAAUCGUUCGCGUGCCAAAAAUGCUGUCGCAGUUCCCUCGACCGUUGAGUGAAAGUUGUCCAGGGCGUUGGCACGAAAGAAAAAAUGGUCUUCGAUCGUUAUUCGUGUGCCGGAUCACGAUUUUGAAUACUCGGAAAAAUGAAGAACCUCUGUACGAGGGUUCCCCAAAGAUUUCCCGCCAUCCGUAAUAUUCACCUCGACAAAACAGUUCAGGUUCAUAAAACCUGGACGACUGAAGUUCAAUAAACCCGAAUAAAAAGACCUCGAAGAUUUGAUAAACAUCAUCAAA